rnacentral:rRNA from 1 species
UACGUAGGGGGCAAGCGUUGUCCGGAUUUAUUGGGCGUAAAGAGCGUGUAGGCGGUCAGGUAGGUCCGUUGUGAAAACUCGAGGCUCAACCUCGAGACGCCGAUGGAAACCAUCUGACUAGAGUCCGGAAGAGGAGAGUGGAAUUCCUGGUGUAGCGGUGAAAUGCGCAGAUAUCAGGAGGAACACCAAUUGCGAAGGCAGCUCGCUGGGACGUUACUGACGCUGAGACGCGAAAGCGUGGGGAGCAAACAGG